UACGUAGGGUGCGAGCGUUAAUCGGAUUUACUGGGCGUAAAGCGUGCGCAGGCGGCCUGUUAAGACAGGUGUGAAAUCCCUGGGCUCAACCUAGGAAUUGCGCUUGUGACUGGAGGGCUUGAGUACGGUAGAGGGGGGUGGAAUUCCUGGUGUAGCAGUGAAAUGCGUAGAGAUCAGGAGGAACACCGAUGGCGAAGGCAGCUCCCUGGGCCUGUACUGACGCUCAUGCACGAAAGCGUGGGGAGCAAACAGG
rnacentral:rRNA from 1 species